GAUGAACGCUAGCGGCAGGCUUAACACAUGCAAGUCGAGGGGCAGCAGGGGUAGCAAUACUCGCUGGCGACCGGCAAACGGGUGCGGAACACGUACACAAUCUACCUUUAUCUGGGGUAUAGCCCGAAGACAUUCGGAUUAAUCCCCCAUAAGAUAUUAGAGUGGCCUCACUUCGAUAUUAAAACUCCGGUGGAUAAAGAUUAGUGUGCGUCCCAUUAGCUUGUUGGUAGGGUAACGGCCUACCAAGGCAACGAUGGGUAGCUGGUGUGAGAGCACGACCAGCCACACGGGCACUGAGACACGGGCCCGAAUCCUACGGGAGGCAGCAGUGAGGAAUAUUGGUCAAUGGACGCAAGUCUGAACCAGCCAUGCCGCGUGAAGGAUGAAGGCCUUCUGGGUUGUAAACUUCUUUUAUUGGGGAAGAAAAUUACGGUUUCUACUGUAACCGACGGUACCCAAGGAAUAAGCACCGGCUAACUCCGUGCCAGCCGCCGCGGUAAUAC
rnacentral:rRNA from 1 species